rnacentral:tRNA from 1 species
GUUUUAAUAGUUUAACUAAAAAUAAUGGUCUUGUAAACCAUAGAUAGAUUUAUCUUUAAAACU